rnacentral:rRNA from 1 species
UCGCCUGUUGGAUGAUCUUUCUCUCCUUCGUGAAUUCGUUGGACUGAGAAAAUUCAUCUCUUUUACAGCGCGAUUAAGAUGGAAAUUAGACAACUGGUGGCCGUUGUUUUGUCUGCCCUUGCAUAGAGCUUUAAGCAUUAGUUCUUACGGGAACUUUUCUUGGGUUCUAUGCCAGCAACAGCAAAAUAACUUGCCUUGGUUGUAUUUCCGCUGGUUAUCGCACCUUCUUUCCACCAGUCUUGAAACACGGACCAAGGAGUCUACCGGAUGUGCGAGUGUAACGGUGAUUGAAACCGGGACGCGAAAUGAAAGUAACAUCCACCAACCAACCAUUAUCUUGGUUGGCGCAGUGGAGCUCGGUCCUAAUCGUUUGUGAAAGGGAUCUGAAGUUGAGCACAUCCGCUGGGACCCGAAAGAUAGCGAACUUUUCCUGGGCCGAAGGAAGCCAGGGGAAACCUUGGUGGACGUUCGAAGCAAUGCUGACGUGCAAAUCGCUUGUCAGACCCAGGUAAAGGGGCGAAAGACUAAUCGAGCUAUCUAGUAGCUGGUUCCCUCCGAAGUUUCUCUCAGGAUAGCUGGGAACCUUGAGUUGCGCCUGGUAAAGCAAAUGAUCAGAAGCAUUGGGAUGUUUUUGAUCUCAACUUAUUCUCAAACUCUAAAUGGGCGCGGAGCUUCACCUUCUUAUUUGAGGUGAAGACUCGAAUCAGGUUCCCAUGUGGGCCAUUUUUGGUAAGCAGAAUUGGCGACGCGGGAUGAACCGAAAGCGGACUUAAGGUAUCUAAGCUCUGCUAAUCAGAGCCCAUUGAAGGGUGUUGGUGUAUUAAGACAGCAGGGCCGUGGCCAUGGAAGUUGGAACCGGCUAAGGAGUGUGUAACAACUCACCUGCCGAAUGCACCAGCCCCUAAAAUGGACGAUGCUUAAGCAGUGCACCUAUAGUCCGCCAGCUUCUGGUCGACACAAUCUAGAGCUGCGUCGGAGGGCGUGGGGUACGAGACGAAGCGUGUGCUGUAAAGCCACGUGGAUCGUACACCCAGUGCAGAUCUUGGUUGUAGUAGCGAUUAUUCUGUCGAGAAGACAGAAGAUUGAAGCGGAGUCGGUUUCCAUGUGAACAGUACUUGGACAUGGGUUAGUCGGUCCUAACCCCCGAGGAAAUCCUCCUUGGAAAGGCCACUCGAACUGUCCAAAAAGUCUCUUUUCGGCAGUUUCGUGGGCAAUGGGGGAAAGGGAAUUCGGUCCAACAUUCCGAAACCUGUUUGUGGGGAGAAGAGGCUGUAAAGCAGUUGACAACGGAAGACCUCAGGGUAGUCAAGCCCGAGGAGAGCUUUCUUUUCUCUUUGACAUAGCUGAUGCCUCGAACCACAUUUCAGUUGGAGAAAGGCAUCUGAACCCGAAGAGAAAGCGGCGCAAUUUUAGCGUCGUUCGGAGCCUUGAUUAUUCUCAUGGAAGAUCUUCCUGAGAUCCUCUCCUUCACGAACGGACCGUACCGAUAACCGCAUCAGGACUCCGAGGUGAAUAGCCUCUGGUCCAUGGAGCAAUGUGACCAAGGGAAGUCGGCAAAAUAGACGCGUAACUUCGGGAGAAGCGUUGGCUCCAAGGGCUGGAUGUCAGAAGCCAGCGACUCCUUUUGGGUUCAGUGUUGUGGAAUUGAUGAUCUUUCGGAUCUUCGGAUCUGAGAAUGAGUCGGUUCCACUGCGCCCCCCGAAGGAUCGUUGGAAUUUUGACAUUGCGAACAGCCAACUUGGAACUGGUACCGACUAGGGGAAUCCAACUGUUCAAUUGAAACAUAGCAUUGAGACCCGCACGUUGAGACAGUCUUGGACUCAAGGUGCGUCCUGCCCAGUGCUCUGAAUGUUAAUGCAAAGAGAUUUUAUCAAGCUCGGGUAAACGGCGGGAGUAACUAUGACUCUCUUAAGGUAGCCAAAUGCCUCGUCUUCUAACUAAAGACGCGCAUGAAUGGAUUAAUGAGAUUCCCACUGUCCCUGGUUACUCUCCAGCGAACCAACAGCCAAGGGAACGGGCUUGAAGUCUUCAGCGGGGAAAGAAGACCCUGUUGAGUUUGACUCUAAUCUGGACUUGUGAACCGACAUUUGAGGUGUAGAAUAGGUGGGAGGUGCCUUUGGCACCGACGGUGAAAUACCACUACUCAAAUCGUUGGUUUGCUCAUCGCAUCGAAUAGGAACGGCGGCCGGCGACAUUUUGUCGCUUAGGUUCUCUUUGGAGAUCCGUGGCCUUUCCGAUUCGAGAGGUAACCACAAUUUUUGUGGGACCUAUUGUUGCGAGACAUUGGCCAGAUGGGGAGUUUGGCUGGGGCGGCAUAUCUGUUAAACUCUAACGCAGGUGUCCUAAGGCGCACUCAGUAAGAACAGAAAUCUUACGUGGCGGAUUAGGCCAAAAGUGCGCUUGAGCUCUCGAUCUUCAGUACUGAUCCAGACUGCGAAAGCAAGGCCUCACGAUCCUUUGAACUCAUUUAUGUUCUGAGGACGAAGUCAGAGGUGACAGAAAAAUUACCACAGGGAUAACUGGCUUGUGGCCGCCAAGAGUCCAUAUCGACGCUGCUUUUUGAUCCUUCGAUGUCGGCUCUUCCUAUCCUUACCUCGCAGUAGAGGUAAAGGGUUGGAUUGUUCACCCAUCAAAAGGGAACGUGAGCUGGGUUUAGACCGUCGUGAGACAGGUUGGUUUUACCCUACUGAAGAGAAAAAGGCGUGUUGAAGGUAAUCUGGGGUAGUACGAGAGGAACUCCCAUUUCGUGCUGCUGGUUUAUGCCCCUGGUUGACAAACCAGUGGGGCGAAGCUACGCACGAUGAAGUAUGGCUGAAGGCCUCUUAAGCCAGAACUCAGUCCUGUCACACGCCUGCGGUUUCUUGCCGCGCACUGACCAAUUGU